GUUUAUCUGCCAAGUUUGCCUUUCGGCAAACGUCGCAUUAUUGUAUGCAGUUUGUAAACAAACUGCGUGAAAAAACUUUUUUCAGGAUUUGAUAAUCCUUGCAAAAAGUUUUUAUAGGA
rfam:Treponema denticola ATCC 35405, complete genome.